rnacentral:tRNA from 1 species
UCCCUGGUGGUCCAGUGGCUGGAACGCCAUGCUCCCAACACAGGGAUCCCGGGUUCGACCCCUGGUCAGGGAG